UGGGGAAUAUUGCACAAUGGGCGCAAGCCUGAUGCAGCAACGCCGCGUGAGGGACGACGGCCUUCGGGUUGUAAACCUCUUUUGGCAGGGAAGAAGCGAAAGUGACGGUACCUGCAGAAAAAGCACCGGCUAACUACGUGCCAGCAGCCGCGGUGAUACGUAGGGUGCAAGCGUUGUCCGGAAUUAUUGGGCGUAAAGAGCUCGUAGGCGGUUUGUCGCGUCUGCAGUGAAAACCCGAGGCUCAACCUCGGGCCUGCAGUGGGUACGGGCAAACUAGAGUGCGGUAGGGGAGAUUGGAAUUCCUGGUGUAGCGGUGGAAUGCGCAGAGAUCAGGAGGAACACCGAUGGCGAAGGCAGAUCUCUGGGCCGUAACUGACGCUGAGGAGCGAAAGCAUGGGGAG
rnacentral:rRNA from 1 species